GUAGGUGGCAAGCGUUGUCCGGAUUUAUUGGGUUUAAAGGGUGCGUAGGCGGCUUUGUAAGUCAGUGGUGAAAGACGACAGCUCAACUGUCGAGGUGCCAUUGAUACUGUAAGGCUAGAGUACUGAUGAGGUAGGCGGAAUGGACGGUGUAGCGGUGAAAUGCUUAGAUAUCGUCCAGAACACCGAUAGCGAAGGCAGCUUACUAAAGAGUAACUGACGCUGAGGCACGAAAGUGUGGGGAUCAAACAGGAUUAGAUACCCUGGUAGUCCACACUGUAAACGAUGAUCACUAGAUGUUGGCGAUACACUGCCAGCGUUCCAGCAAAAGCGAUAAGUGAUCCACCUGGGGGAGUACGCCCGCAAGGGUG
rnacentral:rRNA from 1 species